rnacentral:tRNA from 2 species
GCGGGAAUAGCUCAGUGGUAGAGCACCUCCUUGCCAAGGAGGGGGUCGCGAGUUCGAGCCUCGUUUCCCGCUCCA